ensembl:lncRNA
UGGCCGGGCACGUGGCUGGCUGGAAGGCCCGACCGGGGCGGAAGCACCUGGGGCGCAUGCGCAGGUGGUUGUUCCGCGGACGCCUGGCGGACGGCUUUCUGAAGGGACGAGGCGGGAUCGUUGUUGUCGCCAUUGUCGUCCUUUCGGUCGUAGGUUGUGGGUGACCAGGGCGGCGCUUUCCUCACUUCGGUCCUGGGCCACGGUGGACCGGAAGAGGGACAGCCCCUCGCAGGCUGGCAGGGAGGAGGCUAGGAGAAACUCUAAUUACGUGGUAAUGGGGAUCAAGUAUAAAUGAAAUUCGAAGAUUAUCAGGACCAAAAGCUCAGGAGGAUUGGAGCAUUGGGCCAUUGUUGUGAAUAAUUACGAGUAAAGAAGAGACAAGUUGUAAAAAUCAUGGAAGACUAUAAAAACCCUGAUUUGAAAGAGACUUCAGUAAAUCACAAGGAUAUUCGAAUAAGAAAAAGAGGGAAUCCUCAGGAGAUGGAGCUAGAGAACCCAAAGAGACCGAAAAUGAAGGAACCCAACACAGAAGAGAAUCAGGGAAUAUGGGGGGAGGACCAGCAAUACUUGUUGAAAGAAGGAAACAAAUUUUCUAGGUCCAGAGAGAAGCCAGUACAAAAAAAUGUUAUUACCAGAAAUUCUCUGAACCAUAAAGAAGUAUUGGAAGCAAAGAGUGCAGGCCAAGAUAUUGCAAAUGAGGGACUUUGGCAGAAGCCUUCUCUUGUGGUUGGCAAGGUACCUGUCAGGAAGGAUAAUGAAUCUGUAGUAGUCAAAACUACAAUGAUGGAACAAGCAUUCCCUUUGAGGUCAGAACAGGUAACUCCGGAGGUAGAACCUGGAAAUGAUGAGAGGCUGUCAAAGAAAAAAGGCAACAAAAUUACAAAGCUACAAGAAGUUCGUGAAAGCAAGAUGGAAGCUCCUCAUUGUGGAAAUCAAGGAAUCUGUGAAGAUGGGAAGUGUUCAGCAAGUAAAGAAGAUACCGUAAAUAAAGGCAUUGUUGGAGAAAAAAAGGGAAUGGGGAAGUAUGUGUGCCUUCUACAUUGGGACACCAUGGAAGAAUCAAGCAAUAAACCAAUAGUAAGCAACCAGAUAAAAGAUGUGACUGGUAAAAAUAAACUGGAAGUUCUUAAAGGAAAGGACUCAAAGAAAAGGCAAGAAAAACAUAAGCAAAAACACACUGAGAAGUCUCAAAAGGCAGGGAAGCCAGUAAAGGAGAGUGGUGGCGAGUACAAGAAAACAAAAGAGAAGAUAGGAAGAUUUGAAAUGAUUGAGAGGGACCAUGGUGAUGCCCAAAAUGUCCUGAAAGGAAAGGCUGAAAAGGAAAACAGUAGUGCAAAAGAGAACACAAAAGAAUCUUUAAAAAAAGAAAAUGCAGAUCAAAUAGAAUAUGACUGUAUCAGCAGAAUGGGAGGAGAUCAUGAGAAGCAGUUGGAGAGCCAAAAAGGGGAUAACAAAAUCGUCCCUGUGGAAAUGAACACUGAAAGGAAAAAUCAGAUAAUAAUAAACUUCAAAAGACAAAUGUCAUUUGAAGGGAAACAUGUACAAAAUAAUGAAGAUAAAGAGGAAAAAGAACUGAGGGUUGAAAAAAUUAAGGAAGAGAAUGAAGAGGAAAAACAAGAUGGCGCCAUGAAAGCAAAGGAAAGGAAGCUGCAGGAGAACAAGACUAAAUCAGAAAUUUUGGUUUCUAAAGAAGAAAAGAAAAGGAAGAAAAGCAGGGGAGAAGAGGAAGGUGUGCACAAGUUAAAGGAAAGAAAGAUAGAAUAUUGGGACCUAGAGGAAGAAAAGCAAAGAGAGAGAAGAGAUAUAAAGACUGAAAGUGAGGAAAGUAGACAGACACAAGAAGAAAAGCUGAGAGGAAGCCAUGAAGGAGGGAAAAAAAACAAAAGACAGGACAAAUCAAGAGAUAGGAACAAAUCCAUACAAGAAAAAGCUCUAAAAGGCAAGAAAGAAGCUAAAAAUAAAUUCCUGGUAAAGAAGAGUAGAACAAAAGAUAAAGUGAAAAAGGAAGAGCUGUUAGUUAAUGAACCAUGUUCCAAGAAAAAGGAAAAGAAAAAAGAUAAGGAAAGGAAUAAAGCCCCAAAGGAGGAAAAUGAAAAGGGAAAAAAGAAAAGGCAAGAGGAAGAAAAUAAAUGGAAAUGGUAUGUUUCACUUGACGCUAGGUCUGACCUUUGAAGUCCAUAGGACCCAAAUUCCUAUGAACAGAUUUCAAACAAAUGCAGUAUGUAUGUGUUUAAAAUGAAAGUACAAGGGCAGCUAGGUGACUUAUUGGAUAGAACACUGGCCUUGAAGUCAGGAGGACCUGAGUUCAAAUCUGGCCUCAGACCAAGCACUUGACAUGUACUAGCUGUGUGACCCUGGGCAAGUCAUUUAACCCCAAUUGCCAAAAAAAAAAUACAACUGACUCUUUGUGUUGGGUCUUAGAGGAGAAAACAUUACAUAAGGUCAACAUAGCUUAUUUUGAGGAAGUUUAUAUUAAUGCAUGCUUUAAAAAAUUAGGUAACUCAACAUUUGCCACCUUGGCUGGAAAUUGGGGUAUUGAGGUAAAUCUGAUGAGUAGAUUGGCCAUUACUAAUCUGUGGCUAGCCAUAUUUGAGGCAUAUAACAAAAUCACUUAACACUAAGAUUAUGUAGAACAGCC